CUGCCGCUCCGUCCCCAUUGACUAUAAUGGGGGCGGAGUUGCAGCGGCACAGCAAGAGGCAGCCGGACUAAAAGUACUGCAUGCAGUACUUUUAGUCCGGCUGCCUCUCGU